rnacentral:rRNA from 1 species
AGCGAACGCUGGCGGCAGGCCUAGCACAUGCAAGUCGAACGAAGUCUUCGGACUUAGUGGCGGACGGGUGAGUAACACGUGGGAACGUGCCUUUAGGUUCGGAAUAACUCAGGGAAACUUGUGCUAAUACCGAAUGUGCCCCUCGGGGGAAAGAUUUAUCGCCUUUAGAGCGGCCCGCGUCUGAUUAGCUAGUUGGUGAGGUAAAGGCUCACCAAGGCGACGAUCAGUAGCUGGUCUGAGAGGAUGAUCAGCCACAUUGGGACUGAGACACGGCCCAAACUCCUACGGGAGGCAGCAGUGGGGAAUUUUGCGCAAUGGGCGAAAGCCUGACGCAGCCAUGCCGCGUGAAUGAUGAAGGUCUUAGGAUUGUAAAAUUCUUUCACCGGGGACGAUAAUGACGGUACCCGGAGAAGAAGCCCCGGCUAACUUCGUGCCAGCCGCCGCGGUAACAC